rnacentral:rRNA from 1 species
CUGCUAUCGGGGUUCGAUUAAGCCAUGCGAGUCGAGAGGUGCUACAAGACCUCGGCGCGCUCAGUAACACGUGGAUAACCUACCCUCAGGUGGGGGAUAACCCCGGGAAACUGGGGAUAAUACCCCAUAGACCAGGGACGCUGGAAUGCCCCCUGAUCGAAAGGUCCGCCGCCUGAGGAUGGGUCUGCGGCCGAUUAGGUUGUUGUUGGGGUAACGGCCCAACAAUUUGAUCGGUACGGGUUGUGAGAGCAAGAGCCCGGAGAUGGAUUCUGAGACACAAAUCCAGGCCCUACGGGGCGCAGCAGGCGCGAAAACCUUUACAAUGCGAGAAAUCGUGAUAAGGGAACCCCGAGUGCCCGUAAAUUCGGGCUGUCCAUCAGCGUAAAAAACUGGUGAAGAAAGGGCCGGGCAAGACCGGUGCCAGCCGCCGCGGUAAUACCGGCGGCUCGAGUGGUGGCCACUAUUACUGGGCUUAAAGCGUCCGUAGCUGGAUUGUUAAGUCUCUUGGGAAAUCCGCCGGCUUAACCGGCGGGCGUUCAGGAGAAACUGGCAAUCUAGGGACCGGGAGAGGUGAGAGGUA